rnacentral:rRNA from 1 species
AGAGUUUGAUCAUGGCUCAGAACGAACGCUGGCGGCAGGCCUAACACAUGCAAGUCGAACGCGACCUUCGGGUCGAGUGGCGCACGGGUGAGUAACGCGUGGGAAUCUGCCCUGUGGUACGGAAUAACAUCGGGAAACUGGUGCUAAUACCGUAUAUCCCCUGAGGGGGAAAGAUUUAUCGCCAUGGGAGGAGCCCGCGUAGGAUUAGCUAGUUGGUGGGGUAACGGCCUACCAAGGCGACGAUCCUUAGCUGGUCUGAGAGGAUGAUCAGCCACACUGGGACUGAGACACGGCCCAGACUCCUACGGGAGGCAGCAGUGGGGAAUAUUGGACAAUGGGGGAAACCCUGAUCCAGCCAUGCCGCGUGUGUGAUGAAGGCCUUCGGGUUGUAAAGCACUUUCGCACGUGACGAUGAUGACGGUAACGUGAGAAGAAGCCCCGGCUAACUUCGUGCCAGCAGCCGCGGUAAUACGAAGGGGGCAAGCGUUGUUCGGAAUUACUGGGCGUAAAGGGCGCGUAGGCGGUGCUCUAAGUCAGGCGUGAAAGCCCUGGGCUCAACCCGGGAAUUGCGCUUGAUACUGGAGCGCUUGAAUCCAGGAGAGGUUGGUGGAAUUCCCAGUGUAGAGGUGAAAUUCGUAGAGAUUGGGAAGAACACCGGUGGCGAAGGCGGCCAACUGGACUGGUAUUGACGCUGAGGCGCGAAAGCGUGGGGAGCAAACAGGAUUAGAUACCCCCGUAGUCC